GGGAGGGACGAUGGUGGAACGACUAUUGAGAAGGAAAUGGGAGACGGGACCAGCUGAGUUUGUUAAGAGAGAUGAGAGAAGAGACAGGGCUCUGUAGAAGAAGAAGAAGAUGAUGAG